CCGCCCCCGCCCCUGCCCCGGGGCAGCCUGUGCUGUUCCGUGUGCGCGGCGCAUACGCACCUGGGUUGUCUCGAGCCUGCGGUAGUGGCCAGAUCCCAGACAUCCGAGUAGAUCCCGUGAAAAGGUCUCCCACGUGGGCUGUGGACAGGGCCCAAGGGUAGCAGAGCUAGCAGAGGCAGUGACGGACUGUGUGGCAGGUCAUUUGCAAGGAGAAAAGCCGUCUGCCUCUUAAUUUGUGGCUCAAGUUUCAGAAUUUUUUUCCUGAGGGACUUUAGAAAUUACUUCAGGCUUGCCACCUAACCUUAAACCACCCCCUUGGAGACUGGCUAAGUGUUAUUUGUGUUUUCUGUUUAGUUCUUAUCACCAUCGAUACUUGGUUAUGACUGGUUGUGUACAUUGGUUAGCCCAGCAAGUAUUACUUCUCCAGCUUAACAGAUGUGGAAACUUAAGCCCAGAGACAUGAGUUGACACCCCACCCCCAAAGCUAGAGUCUAAAACCCUUUCUUUCGCUCCUCAUCUCCCACAGGAUAAAAUGCAAAUUAAUCAGACUAGUGGUGAGGCCCUCCGUGGUGUGACUAACCUGCAUCCCGACGUUUUCACCCUACUUUGAUCCAGAAAGCACCUUUCCGCCCCAUCUCUUCUCCUUUCCUUAAAUACCCCUUACAACUUCCUGUACCAUUCUUCCCUGUUCAGCUUCUUCUUGGUUUCUUCGUACAUUCUGGAUCCACCCCUUUCAUGCAUAUUCCAGACCACAUUUCCACUGGAGCAGUUGAAAUGAGAGAGAUGGGAAUGGGACUCACCCGAACCAGAGGAAUUUUUAUUACAGACCCAUUAACAGAGGUGUCAAAGUCACAGGAACAAGGAUGUGCACCUCAGAAACACAGAGGUCAGUGGAAAAUCAGUUUGCUUCUAUUUGUUUAAAAAAUGGGGGACUUAUGCAUAAAUCUAAGACCUUCUUGAAUCUAACAUUCUAAGACCUGUAUGCCACAGAAAGGAGGGUCUCAGAACGCCGGAGGAUAGUAUUUAAAUCUUAAAUAUCUAUAUUGUUCUCCACAGUUACUGGGUCACCACAUAGCAGGCAUUCAAUAAAAACGUGUUUGUUUACUAAGUA
rnacentral:lncRNA from 10 species